GCCCCUGUAGCUCAGUGGAUAGAGCAUUGGUUUCCUAAACCAUGUGCGUGAGUUCGAUUCUCGCCAGGGGCA
rnacentral:tRNA from 1 species